AGUCCUUAGAGAUCGUCUGCUUAAAGGCUGAGACCCUCGCCACCAGAGGAUAGGAGGGUAGCCCAGUGAUGCGGCGGGAGACUUUAGGUAGCUCCUGCCUCGCUGGCCUCCAGCCUAUGUGUGCCCACCCUCCACGCGUCCCCAGCACCGCAGGGAAGCCAUCCGACGCCUUAACCUUUCCCUGGCUAUUCCAAGCAAGGCAAAGGGCCAAGCGUCUAGGACUCUGGUCUUCUCUGCACCUGUCUUUUCCCUCAGUGCCUAUCUCACCUGGGUCGCGCUUGGUCUCCAUAUCCUCAUCCUGGCCCCCACCCGCGUCCCCUAGCUCCGCUGGAGUAGGGAGGAAACUUUCUUAAUUCCAGAAUUUCCUUGGGCCACUUGAGAGGCAAGGCAACAUGAAGACAACCAGAGGCCACCUCGGGGGCGGGGCACAAAUGAAAUUCACGGGUAGAGGAAAAGACAGAGGACACACUCCUAAGGGAAGAGGCAAUAGGAGCAGAACGGAGGAGGGGAAAGAGCAGAGCGUGAAAAGUCAAGGUUUCGGGGCCUUUUUUGGUAGGAGGCCUGUGAUAAGGUUCUUGACUGAACAACCUGGCCUAGAGAAAACCUUCCCACUGAGACAACUCUCCUGCUGGAGGGUAGUCUUUCAGAGCAGCGGCCUGCAGAAAGGAAGAGAUGUCAUCCUUGAAUGGAUCUAAUCAGAGAGGGUGCUGGCCUCAGAGAGAGGGGGGGCGCGGGGGCGCGCUCGGCUUUUCCUCAUACCUCUGAGAGACCCUACUUCCUGGGUUCACUGUCCACUGUCUGGUUGCUCAUGCCUGAUGACUCAACAUAUGCCAAAUAAAGGAUACCCAAGUGGGCAGGAUUACUGGGCA
rnacentral:lncRNA from 1 species